rnacentral:rRNA from 1 species
AUUGAACGCUGGCGGCAGGCCUAACACAUGCAAGUCGAACGAGUGGCGGACGGGUGAGUAAUGUCUGGGAAACUGCCCGAUGGCGGGGGAUAACUUCUGGAAACGGUAGCUAAUACCGCAUACCAUGGGAUGUGCCCAGGUGGGUUUGGCUAGUAGGUGGGGUAACGGCUCCCCUAGGCGACGAUCCCUAGCUGGUCUGAGAGGAUGACCAGCCACACUGGAACUGAGACACGGUCCAGACUCCUACGGGAGGCAGCAGUGGGGAAUAUUGCACAAUGGGCGCAAGCCUGAUGCAGCCAUGCCGCGUGUAUGAAGAAGGCCUUCGGGUUGUAAAGUACUUUCAGCGGGGAGGCGUUACUCGCAGAAGAAGCACCGGCUAACUCCGUGCCAGCAGCCGCGGUAAUAC